GACGAACGCUGGCGGCGCGCUUAACACAUGCAAGUCGAACGGAAAGGCCUGCUUUCCCUUGUGGAUUGCGGGUACUCGAGUGGCGAACGGGUGAGUAACACGUGAGUGAUCUGCCCCCAACUUGGGUAUAAGCCUGGGAAACUGGGUCUAAUUCCCGAUAGGACUGCAGGGUGGUGCCUGUGGUGGAAAACGAUUUUCUAGUGGUUGGGGAUGAGCUCGCGGCCUAUCAGCUUGUUGGUGGGGUAAUGGCCUACCAAGGCGGCGACGGGUAGCCGGCCUGAGAGGGUGGACGGCCACAUUGGGACUGAGAUACGGCCCAGACUCCUACGGGAGGCAGCAGUGGGGAAUAUUGCACAAUGGGCGGAAGCCUGAUGCAGCGACGCCGCGUGGGGGAUGACGGCCUUCGGGUUGUAAACUCCUUUCGACCGCGAGGAAGCCACCUGGUUGGGAGGGUGGUGACGGUAGUGGUAGAAGAAGCACCGGCUAACUACGUG
rnacentral:rRNA from 1 species